UCCCCUGACAAUAUGCGAUUCUGCUUCCCGAAUACUGUUGCAAGAGAAACAUGUCUCAUCAUCGCACAAGUUGCCAUGCUCUUGGGAAUUGCACCUUCUUUCGGGCACUUGAAUGGAGUUUGCUGUUUCACCUGGUGUCCAUAUGGCAAGAAGGUACUUGCACGGGUCAUCAGGUUCUCUUUUAUCCAACUGUAAGUUCACCGCAAGCAGCUUAUAUGAGAAAACACAGUUAUAGAAAUAUGGAAAAUAUUCUUGUUCAAGUAGGUUGUCAAAAACAGCUAACCUCGUUUAGAAGAGGGUGUGAAUCUGGAAGUUCAUAGCUGUAGGAUGGAUUCAAGAAGUGGGGAAGGA